AAAUUGAAGAGUUUGAUCAUGGCUCAGAUUGAACGCUGGCGGCAGGCCUAACACAUGCAAGUCGAACGGUAACAGGAAGCAGCUUGCUGCUUUGCUGACGAGUGGCGGACGGGUGAGUAAUGUCUGGGAAACUGCCUGAUGGAGGGGGAUAACUACUGGAAACGGUGGCUAAUACCGCAUAACGUCGCAAGACCAAAGAGGGGGACCUUCGGGCCUCUUGCCAUCAGAUGUGCCCAGAUGGGAUUAGCUAGUUGG
rnacentral:rRNA from 1 species